rnacentral:rRNA from 1 species
AUUGAACGCUGGCGGCAGGCUUAACACAUGCAAGUCGAGCGGUAACAGAGAGAAGCUUGCUUCUCUGCUGACGAGCGGCGGACGGGUGAGUAAUGCCUAGGAAUCUGCCUAGUAGUGGGGGAUAACUUGCCGAAAGGUAAGCUAAUACCGCAUACGUCCUACGGGAGAAAGGAGGGGACCUUCGGGCCUUUCGCUAUUAGAUGAGCCUAGGUCGGAUUAGUUAGUUGGUGAGGUAAUGGCCUACCAAGACCGCGAUCCGUAACUGGGCUGAGAGGAUGAGCAGUCACACUGAAACUGAGACACGGUCCAGACUCCUACGGGAGGCAGCAGUGGGGAAUAUUGGACAAUGGGUGGAACCCUGAUCCAGCCAUGCCGCGUGUGUGAAGAAGGUCUUAGGAUUGUAAAGCACUUUAAGUUGGGAGGAAGAGCAGUUAACUAAUAUUUGACUGUUUUGACGUUACCGACAGAAUAAGCACCGGCUAACUUCGUGCCAGCCGCCGCGGUAA